UUUUGAAGUUCCAGGUUUGUUCCAUGACGUGGUAUUUAUUGAACAUGAUCAUGAGUUAUGAAAGACUGAUUCUGAAGGCAGGGUACCUGAAAUGUGAUGUGCAAUUUUUAAACAGAUUGUUGACAACAUGUUAAACAUCAUUAAUUGUUUUGUAGAUUUUAUUUUGUAAGACUUGAAUUACUUGAAAUUUGUUAGCUGCUGAAUGUGUUCAAUGCAGUAUUAAAUAAUUUAAAUGAUAUAUAGAUAUCUUUCGUUACAGUUCAGGAAAAAUGGAAAUCCAAACUCAGUGUACCCGAACUAGAACAUGCACAAUGGGAACCUAUUCACCAUGAGGAAAUGAUGCAAAGUUGGUUUUAAUAAAAGCUGAAUGUUGAAAAGUCAUCUCUUGUCUGAGCCAUUUCUAUGCUAUGCUAUUUCCCGGGGCUUUCAUUUUGAGAUGUGACAUUUUUAAAUCAUUAGUUUUCAGCAAUGUUAUCACUUCAUAUCAUCACAUUCUCUGAUAUCAAUUUUACAGUAAUAAACUGUUUAUGAAGAUUACAGUACAAACAGUAAAAUAACAGUAUAAUGGCACCAAAAUACUGACAGUAAUAUACUGUAAGCAUAAACUCUAAACAUCAUAAUACUGUAAUAUUUGUUACAGUAAUAAACUGUUGUUGUAGGAUACGGUAGGUUUACUGUAGAAUAACAGUGCUCUGCUGGCAACUUUUGCUGUCAGCUCUUUACUGUGAAUUUACGGGGAAAUUUCUUAGAGUGUAGUUUAAUGGUAACACAAGCAUAAAAACACACACAAAUAAAUACAUUUGCACAUAAAAAUAUAAAUAAUUGAGAAUAAAGGAUGCGGUAAGCUUGAUACACAUUAAAUAAAGAAAGCAUGUAGGUACACAGACUUCGUUUUGUGAUCUUUAAUUUUGGAGAGAUGUUGGAUCAUAAUUUGAACGGAACUAUGGGAGAAUUUUAAAGCGAAAUAUCUGAAUUUUCUGGAGCUUCAGGCAUCUGAAAUGUGAUCCUGACUACAUGCUGCUUUUUUCAGUUGAAUCUUUAACAAUGUGUUGUAUUUUAAAAGCUUGUUUUACCAUCUUUUGUGUGAAAUAUUCAUCUUGAACCUGACUCAAGCUGUCAAGUAAACAUAGCAGAGCAGAUAACACAGUAUAACCCUUUGAAAGGUAGUGGAGCUGAAGUAUGAAGUUGCAUAAGAUGGAAACACUGAAGUAUUCAUGUGGUCCAUCUGGUGUUUGCAUUCUGAUUCGUGGUUCUGUAACAGCUACUAAAAUUAUAUGGAAAAAAUAUGACCCGGUUAUUUGAAGGGGAUGAAAUGAAGGCAAACGCAGUGAUGUUUUCAGUGACCCAACCAGCCUUUGUGCUUCCAUUAUUCCAACAUGACAUGGAAAUACAAACCAUACUGUGUGAUUAUACUUGAGCCAGAAUAGUGAGAACUCCAUCUGGUACAGUCAUGAGCUCAGGAAGCUCAGCAUGAAUAAAGAUCAGUGGAUGAGUCACAUUCUGGCUUUAUGGAAAUCUAUGCCAUACCUUCGUAACAUCACACAUCACAGCUCUUUCCUUCACCCUCUUUUUCUUCCAUUGAUGCAUUAACAGAAGCUUCAAAACACAGAGAGUAGAUUUGGUUUUAUACUUUUUUUGAACAUUUGUUUAUUCUCAGUUAAGUGGCUGGUCAUGUUUUAUUACACAUACAAUGAUGAGGAGGAAGUUUACAUUCAUUCCCAGCAUCCAUUCAGCAAUAAAACAGUACACGGCACUCACAAGGCUCAAGCAAACAGUGGGAGGGAUGAACGCUGCACGUCACACACGCCUGCUUUUUGGAAGAUGAAUGGAACAGCCCCAAUGGUGGCGCUGACCUUUUCUACAAAUGACUCUAUUUCCUUUUUACAGAAAACUUGCACAUUCUCAGAAAGAAAAACACUUUAUAAUGUGUCAUUACAGAGUUAGUCACAGAGCACCUUUUUGAAAUUGUUGUUUUUUUGUUUAUUAUUCACAAAAAAAAAGGAAACACAGCACAUUGUAUUUGGUAGUCAGGAGGAAAAAGGCAGUUGUUGUUGAGCGAGGGCUUUUUGUGAAUUUCAUUUACAGUAUGUGUGCUGUGCACGAGAUAGAAAGGAUGAAGACAAAGGAGAGACCUACACUAGACUACGCUGAAGCGUUUAGGAACAGGUCUGAAUCUGGCAUCGUGCUGCAGCAUCAGCAUCAUAGUUCAGAUUCAGUUUUAGUCAUGUCAUUAUCUCAUGGACUGUAAAAGAAAAUUAUCUAUAUUUCAGUGACUACUGCAGGAAAAAAAAUUAUUUAGAAGGUUUAGAAAUGUAACUUUUACCACAAAAUCCACAGCCAGCCUUAGGUCCAAUAAUGACAAACAUGGAUCAACAACACAUUCAUGACGGGACACUUAGCUACACGUCAGACACAAGGGUUCGAUGAAAAUGGCUCUCACAGUAAUGUAAAAGAUGUGUUAAAUCUGUCACAGAACAACGUUCAGACACAUGGAAACACAGAGGAAGGUUGGAGGAAGUGACGUCGACAGCGCAACAGGACAGAAAACCUCUCUUCUCUGAAGCAGAAACGACCUGGGCUUUCGCUCCGUCAACGAGUGGCAACGACGGUCAAGUCAGUCGGACUUGCACCGGCCAGAACCUUCAACUAACCCCAGAUCUGCUCCGGUUCAGCCUCCCUUCGUUAGAGAAAUGACCACAGACACAAAACUCAAGCGCAGGUAUAGAUAAGGAGGAGAGCCGUGGAUGGAUCAUUCAGGCUGCACAUGUGAGCGGCUUCAGGAUCAGCAAACAGUGAUGAUGACUGCACAGACUCAGCACAACGCAUGCAGGGUUUGGAGGUGGGAGGGGGCAACAGAUUGUGUCGCUAUCUACCAGCCAAAGGAGUCGAGGGUGGGGGCAGUAAUAGGGGGAGAUGAAGGAUUUAGCCGACAUUAGAGUGUUAACAGAGGCGGAGGGGACGGUGAGUGUAAGGGUUGACAAGAUUUCCUCCUCUUCUUCCUCUUUUUUUUGUUGUUUUUUUUCCCCCCGUGCUCUCAAACGUCUGCCCUGUUGGAAGGGUUGUAGAGGGACCUCAGCGUUUGGCUGGAGAAGCACUCCUGCUUCCCUGGAACAGACAACACAAUGCGGUGAAUACAUGCAGCCCUUAUCACACCACCUACCAGGCCUAUCUUGGCUGCUAGUCCUCUCCACUGGAUGUGCAGAGAAACAAGAGACAAGGACAAGAAGGCAGGAGGGAGAGGGGACAAAUAGAAAAAACUUACUCAGCGCAAAGGCAGGAUGGAAAAGGAGAGGAGGCAGGUGGGAGAGUCCAUCCAGAGGGGGGGUGGGGAGGAGGAGUCACGGGGUCACGGGGGGGAAAUGUGUUUGGAGAGGGAGGAGAGAGGAGCAAGGAGGAUGCUCACAUUGGAAAGAGCACAAGUUUAGUGACAUUCAGCAGCAACAAGGCCAAAGACAUGAACCAUAUAGUACAUUUACCGUUCGACUAUUUUAAAGUGAUUGCAAAGAUGCUGUAAAUAUUUGUUUCUUGCAUGUGUUCGUACACGGUUCUUUGAAAGUCCGCCAAUUAGACUGUUUGGUUUCACAUUAAAAUGACCUGCCAUCAGUGAGACAGAAUCUAUUUUCUAGUCCCUGCUGUUGCUAAGCUAAGCUAAAUUAAGCUAAAAUAAGAUAAAACUUUAUUGAUCCGGAAGGAAAUUCUUGUACCAGAGAUUGCUCAGAAAAAAACAAAUGAUAUAACAGAUGAAAUGUAGUGCCUAAAAAGUAAAAAAGCAUUACUAUAUGAGUACAAUACUGAAAAAAAUACUGCACUGAAAAAUGAGGUGAAUCUGAAAAAGAAAGGUUGAAAACAACUGUAACUGUAAACAUGUCACCUUACUUAAAUGACCUAAAAUGGAAUGGAAAAACGCACUGAAAC
ensembl:lncRNA